rnacentral:rRNA from 1 species
AUGUCGGCGAUCACCUUCCAGUGCUUCGUCAUGCCCAUGUUCAUGGGCGGGACGACCAACCAGAGGGUCGUCGAGGAGAACCUGGAGAAGCUGAAGGUGGCCCUCGGAGUCUACGAGGAGCGUCUGUCCAAAUCCCGGUACCUGGCCAGAGAUUUCAUCAGCCUGUCCGACCUCAGCCAUUGCCCCAUGGCUCACAACCUGCUGGCCAGCCCCUGCUCGUCGGUGCUCGAUGCGUAUCCGCAUGUGAAGGCGUGGGUUGAUUGCAUGAUGGAUCGGCCGAGUGUGAAGAAGGUCAUGGAGCUUAUGGAUGCUUCGUAA